rnacentral:rRNA from 1 species
CCUACGGGAGGCAGCAGUAGGGAAUAUUGCUCAAUGGGGGAAACCCUGAACCAGCAACGCCGCGUGGAGGAUGAAGGUUUUCGGAUUGUAAACUCCUUUUGUUCGAGAAGAUAAUGACGGUAUCUAACGAAUAAGCCCCGGCUAACUACGUGCCAACAGCCGCGGUAAUACGGAGGGUGCAAGCGUUACUCGGAAUCACUGGGAGUAAAGAGCGCGUAGGCGGGCUAGCAAGUCGGCUGUGAAAUCCUAUGGAUUAACCAUAAAACGGCAUUUGAGACUGUUAUUCUGAAGUAGGGGGUAGGUAGGUGGAAUGCUGGGGGUAGGAGUAAAAUACGUAG